GGUUCUCGCCAGAUCACCGAAGUUAAGCAACAUCGAGCCUGGUCAGUACCUAGAUCGGUGGCUACUUGGGAAUACCAGCUGCUGUAAG